ensembl:lncRNA LINC00683 long intergenic non-protein coding RNA 683
GGCAAUUUUUUUUUCAUUUUUUGUAUAGAUGAGGUCUUGCCAUGUUACCCUGGCUAAGGUUCUUAUAUAGUAAGUGGCUUAGAUUGUAGAUUUAGAACCAAAACAUCGAUCUCUUGCCCCUCCAGUCAGUGCUUCUUGUACUGGAAUGGAUCUCUAGACUUGGUGUAUGCACUCUCAAUAGUGUGUAUCGAAGGAGAGGAGAGGGCAGAGCAGGGGUAGUAGGGUGGGCUGGCCAUUUUCUUGUGAGUUGAGAGGCUUAGACUCUGUUGGCACUAAGUGUCUUCUGAUUUUAAAGAAGUCUCCUUACCUCCCGCUGCCUCAGUUCCUUUCUGUAAACCAGAGGAGAAGGGAAAUUGUAGGAUACUCUCCUAAUAUGAUCUCGUGUUCUAGGAAAGUCGUAUGAAGGCGGAAGUGAAAGUAGAUAAUCUAUUUUAUUUCGUAUGAUUUUACCAACACAUCUGUUGAAAUUUUUUUUAAAACGUCAUCAUUCUGGUUCACAUUUGCUUUUUUAAGACACAUAUUUGAGAAUUCAGCCACUGGGCUUAUUUAUACUCAUUAUUAUUCUAGGAUAAUCUUUGGGGUUUGAAAUCACUUAUAAUCCCAUAACACAAAACUGUGACGAACGUGUCCUCUGACCUACAUGAAUUAUUUUCUGUGAAAAUGAAAGUCGUGGACAGCCCUAAUUAAAUCCCUGCUGAGCAGAUGCCAGUGCUUAGGACAGCUCUCCACGUGAUCCAUAGAAACAAAUCAAGGUUUGCAGUUGGAGAACCACCAAAAGCAAGCCAGUGACUGUUCCUAUGGCUUGUAAACACAAAAGAAAAUAUUAAAAAGUACACAUGAGAUACAAAGAAUACUAUUACAAGCAGGCCCAAGUCAGCCACUCAGCUUAGGCCUUAGAGCUGUGUCAGUAUCGCUGAAGACUCUAAGGACUGGGCCUUCCCGACGCCAUUCCUUCUCCUUCCUCCCAGAGCCACCAUCGUCUAAUGUUGUGUUCAUAAUUGACUUAAUUUCCUUUCUCAUUUUCCUAUAUAACCAUGUAUCCUUAAAGUAUAUGUUGCUAAAUCUUGCAUAUAUUUGAAGUUUCCAUUUAAGAUAAGUGGCAUUAUAUUGUAGAUAACCCAGUCUUUGGUUCAAGUUUAUGUUUGGGAAGUCAUCCACGGGUGUUGACAUUUUCAGCUGAAUGUCAUUCAUUUUCACUAUUCUAUAGAAUUCCAUUGCAUGAAUAUCCCAAGAUGUAUUUACUCAUAGGGGGAUUUUUUUCUUUUAAUUACACAAUUAUAUUAUCUUAGUAUUAUACAUACAUAACAAUUAUCAUACCCUAUUACCCAAAAGUUGUAAACAUUCUGUGAAUAUAGGCUCCAAUACAUAGACGAUUGAGCUGUGAACUCAUUAAUUUUCUACAUAGUUUCUUUGGAAACCAAAGAUUUGAAAGCCAGAGUUAUUGCUGAUCUCCUCUUUCUGCUUCAUUAGGCCUGCCUUUCCCGGUAACCUGUUCCUCAAAUAAUAUUUCUCCCAACUGUGACACCAACUAGAUGUCAAAACCUCAGUGAUAUCCGUUGAUGUCAAAACAUCAAUUUAUGUCAAAUAUAAUUUAACCUAAAGCCGUUUCCUUUAUUAGAAUGAUAAUGUCAUUUAUCAUAUGUCUUUUCUUUCACUUUCCCUGAUUUUAGUUAUUAAAACAACACCCCACUUCAAUGUGCUCAUUUGUAAAAUAGCAAUGCCAUUACUAACUUGUGUCUGUUACAGAGAGUAUCCUACAAAGAUGGUCUCAAAGUACUUUGAGAUGAACAGAAUGUUCUAUAAAUGGGUAUUGAAAAUAAUCAAGACAUUCAUGGAUCCAAACAGGCCACAGAAAUACCAUAGCAACAAAUGAACAAUAAUUGCUGCAUUAUGGGCUCUUUCCCCAGCUGCACUCAUGCAAUCAAAGCUCUGCUGCGUCUUCAGAGGAGCCCAGGUCAGAUCUGGCUGCCAUCACCCAUGAGGAAGACGUGCGGAGCCAGACAGGUGCCUGGAGGAAAGGUGGGUGUGUGCUGUCCUGCCCCAUCCUCUCUGUUUCCCUCCCACGUGUUUGCAGAGACGUCCUCAGCAUGGAACCAGGGCCCUUGACAGAGACAUUGUCAUUCUGGACACCCCACACCCAAGCCAGUUCAUCCAAGUCACCCGAUAAAAUUGUGCUCUGAAGAAACUGCCUGUUUCAGCAAACUCCUUACCUUACUGGACGCAUAGCGAUGGCCAGCACAGGAUGAGGCCAUGGGAGGAUCUUAAUGACACAGUCCACUCUGCAAACCAAGGUCAACAAGGCAGCAGUGCCCAGAAGAGGGCAGAGCCUGGACAUCCUAGAAAGUGGUCUUCAUGACAGAGGAUUCCUGCCAAUGACUUGGAUGUAGCUUUCCAAAGCUGUGUGAAGAAAUACAGCUUUGGCGUGACUAAUGAGGACAGAUGUGGAAUUUCUGCUCCUGAGAAAUCUUUAAACACAAAUAAUAUACUAUUUUUUGUUCCGUACAAGCUAGAAAUUUACCUAAGGACAAGAAGCUAGUCCUGGUAAUAUCCCGUGAUCCUUUUUAGUUGUAGUUUCCUAUGGCUUAGCAAUUCAUCGGAAUAUGAAAGUAUUCAAGGCCAAGAUGGUGGCUCACGCCGGUAAUGCUAGCACGUUGAGGGGCCGGGACAGGUGGAUCACUUAAGGCCAGGAGUUCAAGACCAGCCUGGGAAAUAUGGUGAAACCCCAUCUCUACUAAAAAUACAAAAAUCAGCCGGGAAUGGUAGUGCAUGCCUGUAAUCUCAGCUACUCAGGAGGCUGAGGCACAAGAAUUGCUUGAAUCCAGGAGGCAGAGGUUACAGUGAGCUGAGAUCGCAGCACUGCACUCCGUCCUGGGUGACAGAGCAAGACUCUAUUAAAAAAAAAAAAAAGUAUUCAAGGGCGUUCAUAUUGUUAAAGUGAUAACAUCUCAUUUUUCAUAAAAGUUAGAUAUGAUUUAAAUCAUUAAUUUAAGACAGAGUUUUUCUAAAUUUUAGACGAGCAAUAUUAACUAAACAUACGCAACACUUAUGAUCAUAUAGAAAUACAAACACAAGUCUGUUGGCUUUUAAAGAACAAAAUGCAAGAACUCCAAAUAGACUAUGACCACACUUUUGUCUGCUUUUAACACUGCGUGAAGCUAAAUGUCCUGCCACAUUUUAGUGUAUGUAAUGUGUCAAAACCAAGCAGUAUCUUACAUUAAAACAUUAUUUGUCAACAAUUCAUGCUUUUAUCACAUAAUUUUAAAAUAAGUAGAACAAUAAAAAAU